rnacentral:lncRNA from 1 species
CUGAAGUUUAACACACUUUUUUCCUAGAACACUCAGUAACUUUGUCGGUGAUUUUUUUUUUUUAAGAUGUCUCUGCUUUUGUAGUUGUUAGCCUGUUCUGCUGUGUGAGGUUUAGAUGAAAUGAGAGUAAGGAGUCUGGUGGCAUGAGGUUGAGUGGAGAUGUUUAAAACUCAGACAUGGCUGUACUGUAUUUUACAAGGGUUUUGAUGUGUCAAGUCUCCUGAUUUAAUAACCUUUUGAGGAAUAUCCCCAUUUCACAGAUGACAGAAACUUAAACUUGGUGGAUUGCCAGGGGUCACUGAUGUUUGAGGGAAUGA